rnacentral:rRNA from 1 species
AAGCGCCGGUAAGGUGAUAUGAACCGUUAUAACCGGCGAUUUCCGAAUGGGGAAACCCAGUGUGAUUCGUCACACUAUCAUUAACUGAAUCCAUAGGUUAAUGAGGCGAACCGGGGGAACUGAAACAUCUAAGUACCCCGAGGAAAAGAAAUCAACCGAGAUUCCCCCAGUAGCGGCGAGCGAACGGGGAGGAGCCCAGAGCCUGAAUCAGCAUGUGUGUUAGUGGAAGCGUCUGGAAAGGCGCGCGAUACAGGGUGACAGCCCCGUACACAAAAGCGCAUGUGCUGUGAGCUCGAUGAGUAGGGCGGGACACGUGGUAUCCUGUCUGAAUAUGGGGGGACCAUCCUCCAAGGCUAAAUACUCCUGACUGACCGAUAGUGAACCAGUACCGUGAGGGAAAGGCGAAAAGAACCCCGGCGAGGGGAGUGAAAAAGAACCUGAAACCGUGUACGUACAAGCAGUGGGAGCA